UCUUUUCAACUAAUUUUGAGCAUUUUUUUUUGAAAGUUAACUGAAGAGGUAUAGUUUAUGUUAACCUAUAUUAUAAUUCUAAUAGUCUGUUUAUCAUCAUGAACCUCCUCUGUUGUCUGUCUAGAAACGGUGCUGUUACAGAUACUGCUUGUGUUUAUCAUCAUGAACCUCCUCUGUUGUCUGUCUAGAAACGGUGCUGUUACAGAUACUGCUUGUGUUUAUCAUCAUGUGAUGGAAGAUUAGAACCUUUUCUUGAUGUUUAAUGUGAAAACAAGGUUCAUUUCAUUCUAAUUCUGAAGAUGAAUAAAAAACAUUUAGACAUUAAAGUCAAUACAUCGAAGCAAGGUGUUAGGUUGUAAACAGAUGACCUCAAACGAAUGCAGAGAAAAGCUCAAACAGAGUUCAUUCACCCCACUGAAUGCUGCAUUUAUAUGCCAUAGCUUGCACAUAACCAAACAAUAAUUGAUAUGUCAAGACAAAGGUAGGGGUGUGACUUCUCAGAAAUGUCCUUCUGUUUCCCAGAACUGCCUGUUGGUCUGUUGUUGAGCGGCUGGUAUCACCCCUCCCCCAUUAUCUCCCAUGUUACUCCACCUCCUUGUGGGAGGAGCCAGGCGAGGCCACAGAUCAGACUCCUCCAUCUCAUCCCACCAACUCUGUCAGUCCACCAGGCCACUGCAGUAACAGCCACAUCUUCACGUCGCGUAGCUUCAGUACCAUCUCAUCCCACCAACUCUGUCAGUCCACCAGGCCACUGCAGUAACAGCCAUAUCUUCACGUCACAAAGCUUCAGUACCAUCUCAAUGUGUUGAAAUACCAUCCAGGAUCCUGAGGCAACGUCAAUAUGAAACAGCAUUGACCCGUGAUCACCACCACCCAGGGCUCCACAGCGGUGUCCUUCGAUGCCCAGGCUUUGCUCAAGAUCAACUAAAGGAGAUUUGGAUGGAUCCCAGUCAGCAAAAUUGACAUUUUUGUUUUAUAUUUGUUUUUCCAGGUCUUUUGAUCAUAGGGAUGGCCUCUCUCUAAGCACACCAGGCAGCAAAGAGCACUUUGAUGUGAUUGGCUGGUCAGCAGGAGGUAUUAUCUGGAUAAACAGAAGGGAUGAGGGAUCUGACAGAGAAGGUUAUAUUGUAAAUAAAAAAGUUGAAAUGUACAGUUGGUUUUUCGUUGUUUUGUUGGUGACAUUUACAAAAAAAAAAAAAAAAAAAAGUAUGCUCACCACGCUGCACCUUUGUC